AUUGAACGCUGGCGGCAUGCCUUACACAUGCAAGUCGAACGGUAACAGGUUAAGCUGACGAGUGGCGAACGGGGGAGUAAUGUAUCGGAACGUGCCCAGUCGUGGGGGAUAACUGCUCGAAAGAGCAGCUAAUACCGCAUACGACCUGAGGGUGAAAGCGGGGGCUCGCAAGACCUCGCGCGAUUGGAGCGGCCGAUAUCAGAUUAGGUAGUUGGUGAGGUAAAGGCUCACCAAGCCGACGAUCUGUAGCUGGUCUGAGAGGACGACCAGCCACACUGGGACUGAGCCACGGCCCAGACUCCUACGGGAGGCAGCAGUGGGGAAUUUUGGACAAUGGGCGCAAGCCUGAUCCAGCCAUGCCGCGUGCGGGAAGAAGGCCUUCGGGUUGUAAACCGCUUUUGUCAGGGAAGAAAAGGUUCCGGCUAAUACCUGGGACUCAUGACGGUACCUGAAGAAUAAGCACCGGCUAACUACGUG
rnacentral:rRNA from 1 species